rnacentral:rRNA from 1 species
CGGGUGAGUAACGCGUGGAUAACCUGCCUUACACUGGGGGAUAACACUUAGAAAUAGGUGCUAAUACCGCAUAAGCGCACAGAGCCGCAUGGCUCAGUGUGAAAAACUUCGGUGGUGUAAGAUGGAUCCGCGUCUGAUUAGCUGGUUGGCGGGGUAGAAGCCCACCAAGGCGACGAUCAGUAGCCGGCCUGAGAGGGUGAACGGCCACAUUGGGACUGAGACACGGCCCAAACUCCUACGGGAGGCAGCAG